UUGUCGGUGAUGAAAAACUCAUAAAAAAUACCAUCUUUCGGGACUGAUUGGCCUCCUGUGGCCAUGCUGCGAUUCUGCAAUUCUGAGGCCA